rnacentral:rRNA from 1 species
CGUUUCCUCGGCGGGUUCGCCCGCCGAUUGGACAAUUUAAACCAUUUGCAGUUGCAAUCAGCGUCUGAAAAAACAUAAUAGUUACAACUUUCAACAACGGAUCUCUUGGUUCUGGCAUCGAUGAAGAACGCAGCGAAAUGCGAUAAGUAGUGUGAAUUGCAGAAUUCAGUGAAUCAUCGAAUCUUUGAACGCACAUUGCGCCCCUUGGUAUUCCAUGGGGCAUGCCUGUUCGAGCGUCAUUUGUACCUUCAAGCUCUGCUUGGUGUUGGGUGUUUGUCUCGCCUCUGCGCGUAGACUCGCCUCAAAACAAUUGGCAGCCGGCGUAUUGAUUUCGGAGCGCAGUACAUCUCGCGCUUUGCAUUCAGAACGACGACGUCCAAAAGUACAUUUUUACACUCUUGACCUCGG